AUACGUAGGGGGCAAGCGUUAUCCGGAUUUACUGGGUGUAAAGGGAGCGCAGACGGCUAUGUAAGUCUGAAGUGAAAGCCCGCGGCUCAACCGCGGGACUGCUUUGGAAACUAUGUAGCUUGAGUGUCGGAGAGGUAAGCGGAAUUCCAAGUGUAGCGGUGAAAUGCGUAGAUAUUUGGAAGAACACCGGUGGCGAAGGCGGCUUACUGGACGAUAACUGACGUUGAGGCUCGAAGGCGUGGGGAGCAAACAGGAUUAGAUACCCUGGUAGUCCACGCGGUAAACGAUGAAUACUAGGUGUCGGUGCCCAAAGGGUAUCGGUGCCGUAGCAAACGCAGUAAGUAUUCCACCUGGGGAGUACGUUCGCAAGAAUGAAACUCAAAGGAAUUGACGGGG
rnacentral:rRNA from 1 species